rnacentral:lncRNA from 1 species
UCUUUGUCUCCCGGACAGCUGAAGAGGUUAAGCUCCUACAUAGGAGGCCAGUGUAUUGUGACAUCAGAGCCUUCUUUGUCUACCAGCCAGGUCUCUGCUCAGAUGGCAUCGUGGACACUCUUUAUGAGAACCUACCUUGCAGUGCUGUAGCUGCCGUCUGCUUGUGCUUUGGCUCCUAAGCGCAUGGUUAAGGAAAUACUCAGCUUUCAGGGUUUUUGUUUGUUUUAUCACGAGUGAAAUUCCUGGCACAGAGCAGGGAUCCAAUGUCAUUGCUGUUACUGUUGAUGAAGAUGAAAUGGUGAUCAAGACUAAAGAAGGUGAAGAAGACUAACGGUGAUGAAGAUAAAGAUGACACUGGGAAUGUAUGAUCCUAACCAGAGCUGGCGGAAGAAGCCACACUGAGCUCUUAGUCAUCUCAGCAUGUGCCUUGGAAGUUUUGUUUAUUGUUUACCAAAAGUCAUCUCGCGGAAAGGAGGGGCUAGGGUCUGGUAAGUCGAAGGCUCCAGUGUGGGGGUUCCAGUCACGUGACAUCUCCUGCUGCCCUCCCUGGGGGCCACUCCUGGCUAAUGUAUUACCCGCUUCGCGGCACACUUCACUUGGUGGCAGCUUCACUUGGGCCAAGUCAGUGCUGUUUCCUGGGUUCGUGGAUUGAAACUUAUUUCUUCAGAGAGCAAGCCAUCAACAAUGAGCAGGCUGGUGACCAAAGGAGGCCUUCUUUACUGUGGGGUGUCUUCUGAUGCAGCAGUGAGGGAGGGCAGGUAAUUCUCUUCCUUCUCUCCCAGCCACAGCCCUCCCCCAGAACACCAUACACCAAGGGGCAGCAUGAGGCCUGGGUAAGAGCCUGGGGUCCAGCAUCACACCUUCUGGGGGUACCAUUUUCAGCUAUGUGACCAUAAGCAAGCUCCAAGUCUUGGUCUUCUCAUUUAUAAAAAGGGUAAAAACAAUAGCCUCUGUUACACUGGAGUUUUUGUUUUAAUUCUUUUGAAGAAUAACAUGCAUAAGCAUAUACACUAUAAGCAUACUAUUGUAAGCAUGGGCCCUCUAGGACCAGUUUAACUGACCCCAUCUUAUCAACUGAGUAGUUAAGAGUGGUUUUUCGUGAACUGAGAAAUGAGCCCUUGUCCAAUUCAGGUCGGUUGAGAUCACCAACCCAUCAACCGGCCCUGUGCAAAUGCCCAAUAAGUGACCCUUUUGAUGUCAAGGGGCUGAAACUUCCACCCUCAGAUCGUACCAACACCACCAUUUGUGAACAUGCGUCCUAUGAGGAGCCAUGAAGCUUGACGAUGCUUGUGCAGAUCAUUGAUUACCUCACUUCUCCUCUCCAGUCAUCUGUCUCCACACUUCAGACCGCCCUGCCCUUCAUCCUAUACAUUUUACCCCAAGCCCUGGAUCGGGGAGACAGAUCCGAGAGCUUAUACCUCCUGUCUCCUUGCAGAUCGAUCUCGCAAUAAAUCUGUAUUCUUUUCUCA